UCUGGCAUCUGUCUCUUCCAGCGGCUACAUGAUGUCUCCCUGGCAUCUGGCAUCUCCCUGGUGUCUUCCUGACUCCAUCCUCUUUCCUCCACUAUCUGCAUGGAAUUCCUUUCUUUGUUCUGCUCAGCCACUUAAUGAAACAACUUUAUUCAUUAACCAACAAAAGCAACACUUGUAUAGAAGGAUUUCCCACACCAGCCUGGAAUUCAGUGUCCUUAAAAGGAGUAGGCUCAGAAUUGGAUCCUAAGGGCACAAAGGUGGGAGCCUGGCCCUGAUUGCACAUUUCUAAAGAUCUCUUUCUCUUUCUCCUUUGUCUGGCUGCCUCUUACUUUCCAGGCACUCUGCCCACUUCUAGCAGAUAUGUACAUGCAACUUGGAGUGCUGGUCAUGCCUAUCUUAGCUUGGAAGGGUCUAGCCCCACCCUGGCAGUAGGUUAGAAAAAUGAUACAUUAAAGACUUUUGGCUGUGUUUUCAUUUUUUACAAAAAAGCACUGAUGGGUGUCAUCGGAGUGUGUCCAAAUCAAUGCAUUAUCUGAAGGGACUCAGCUAGAACAAACCAAAACAACAAAACAUCUUCAGAGCUGAGCCAAUCUUUUGUUCCCUUCAAGCCUCAGUGGAGCCUGAGACUAAAGCCUGAAGGACUGAUCCCUGAAGCAGAAGUGGCCCUCAGCUCAAAACUACCCGGCCCCUGCCUUGUAUCCCAGCAGUCCUUGCUGCUUCUGGUUCCCAGGAUAACCUCAGAAACACUCCACGCCUCCCUGUGCCCCCUGCUCCUUCAGUGCCUUUGUUCAGAGGGCUCAUCCUUCUCCCUUCACCUCUCACAUGCAUACUAAAAUACUGGCUCAUGCUUCAAAGCCGAAGGAUCGUUCCAUUAUUUAUUUUUUUACAAGUUUUAAUUGGAAGUUCAGGAGCAUAAUUCAGUGGCCAAUUUGGUUAGUGGAGACACCAAAGAUGAACAAGACAUAGUUCCUGUUCUUAAACAAUAUUCAGUCUAAGGCUAGAUGAAUGGUUUAGUGAGUAAAAGCUUUUAACCCACAAGCAAGACCAUUUCAGUUGACACUCAGAGACCAUAAUGAAACGGAUAACUGGGAAGGAUGUGGUGGCAGGCAUCUGUAACCCCAAUGUUCCUACAGUGAGAUGGAGGGGAGACAGGAGAAAAGAACACCUCCAGGCUUGGAGGACAGAGUGAUCUAAAGGAAGAGACAUUCUGUCUUGACAGAAGAGGUUGAAAGAAUAAACUUCCCACAACCAUCUUCUGAUCUGUCUGAACACAACCAUGUACACACCUGUGCUCACAUAUACACAUAUAAUAGUAAAUCAAUGGUUUAGUUAUGUGCAGUAAGACACACUCAUAGCCAGACAUGCAGUGCAAGAAUUUUAGUGAACUCACAGUGCUGUGUAUAGACCUCCAUCUUGAACUCCUUGAGAACAUCAUAAUAGGUCACACAGGCUCUCUGGGGUUGUUGGCCUCUGACAUAGCCUGAGAUGUGAAGGAGAAGACAGGAAUUCUAGGGGAUAGCAACCGUUUCACCUAAUAUCAUUAUUCCCAAUUUAGAGCUGAGCAAACACUGAGUGAGUGUCCCCAAAUGUUGAGUUAACAAACAGCAGAGCUGUUUCCUAUCCCAAUGCACAGCCUAAGGCAGUCUCUAACUCAUUAACUCAGCCUGGCUUUAACUUAUCCUGGGAAUCCAGGCACAAAGGAUCCAGGGGGAUGACCUUUUUGAUUUGUCUUGAGACAGAUAUCACUAUACAUCGCAAGCUAGCUUUGGACUCCUGAUCUUCCUAAUCCUCCUGCCUCAGCAUCCAAACCACUGUGAAUGCAGUCAUAUGUCACUGUGCUCAGUCCUACUGUGAAGACAAAAGAAGCAGAAGGAACACAGCAGAACAGGUUAAUGCAGGUGGAUGGCAGUAAGGGAGGAACAGAGAGGAGCAAGCCCUGUCUUCUCGCCCACGCCCUUGGUGACAUGUGUGUCUCAUCACUGCCUCAGAGUUUGGAGACAUGGUCAUCAGGGUCUCACCACAGGAGCUCAGAUUAGGGAACUUGGGCCCAGACACAGACAACUAUGUAAGAUGAUGAAAGACAAUGUGAGACUCAGAGAGAAGAUGGUUAUUACAAGAGUGGAGGGAGGUGGAUGAAGAACAACAGACAGCAGCUGAGCAGGAAUUGACCUCGUUGUCAGAACUGGGAUGGGUCUUGGAGCGCCACGAAAGUGAGCAUUGCUCAGCUCUGAUGAGGACUCAAACUACCUGGAACAUGGAACCAGGACUAAGAAUCCAGACUGCUCAUAAUAUCAACAACAACAUCCAAAUAACUUUUC